AGUGAACGCUGGCGGUAGGCCUAACACAUGCAAGUCGAACGGCAGCACAGUAAGAGCUUGCUCUUACGGGUGGCGAGUGGCGGACGGGUGAGGAAUACAUCGGAAUCUACUUUUUCGUGGGGGAUAACGUAGGGAAACUUACGCUAAUACCGCAUACGACCUACGGGUGAAAGCAGGGGAUCUUCGGACCUUGGGCGAUUGAAUGAGCCGAUGUCGGAUUAGCUAGUUGGCGGGGUAAAGGCCCACCAAGGCGACGAUCCGUAGCUGGUCUGAGAGGAUGAUCAGCCACACUGGAACUGAGACACGGUCCAGACUCCUACGGGAGGCAGCAGUGGGGAAUAUUGGACAAUGGGCGCAAGCCUGAUCCGGCCAUACCGCGUGGGUGAAGAAGGCCUUCGGGUUGUAAAGCCCUUUUGUUGGGAAAGAAAAGCAGCAGGUUAAUACCCCGCUGUUCUGACGGUACCCAAAGAAUAAGCACCGGCUAACUUCGUG
rnacentral:rRNA from 1 species